CACUAUGUUACUUUACUGUUAUGGAGCAUCAUUGGCAACCCUAAUAUUUGCUCAGCUUAUCAGUAAAUGCUUAGUCACAAAUAUAUAGAAACACAAACAUAUAUCUACAAAAAUGAACAAAGAUUAAAUAGGGCAGUAAAGCAAGAACACACAGUAUAUAGAAUUGAAUGUUGAACUCACAAGAAUGGAAUAAAUGAAGGCUCGUCUCAUAUGGUAGUAACCUCUCAAGUAUAGGGUCUUCUGAAUUCUCAGAAAUGCAUGUAAAAGAAAUGGUGGGAAACCAUAGGGCAACACUGUAAAUUGACAAUACAACUUCUUUAUUGUAAAACACUUGCAAGAUAAAAUGUGAUACAAAGUCCACCAACAUAUGCCUAUAGGAACUGGAUCCGAUGAUCAAGUGCAAAUGCAGCAUAGUGUAGAUCUUCCUCUCCUCAAGGUAAAUAUGUAUAAAUGACAUAUAAGUAAUACAAUGCUAUUUAAAAAAACAAGAAACAGUGAAAAUUAAUAAAUAAGCCCUAUG